GCAGAGUACCGGAAGGCGCGUUAAGUGUUGCGAAACGGGACGUUGUUCGCAAACGAAAGGGAUAUCCCUGCGGUGCUUUCUGCGCGUCCGUUG
rnacentral:ncRNA from 1 species